UCUGCAGGCUGCUGCAAGAGAGCAUGCAGAGGAAAGUCCUGAUCGCUGCGAUGCGACCGCAGAUGAAGUCACUUCAAAGAUGUCUGUUG
rnacentral:snRNA from 1 species